CCCCUGGUGGGACAUUCCCUGGGGCUGGGCCAAGGGUCACCCUCUGACUCUGUGGCCAAGGGUAGACAGGUCAGAGGUCGAUCCUGGGCCUACUCUGGGGCUCCUCCCACUGGGAUUCC
rnacentral:pre_miRNA from 7 species